rnacentral:rRNA from 1 species
AUACGGAGGAUCCGAGCGUUAUCCGGAUUUAUUGGGUUUAAAGGGUACGCAGGCGGCCAUUUAAGUCAGCGGUUAAAUCGUGGGGCUCAACCCCAUUCUGCCGUUGAUACUGGGUGGCUUGAUUGCGGUCGAGGUUGGCGGAAUUCGUUGUGUAGCGGUUAAAUGCAUAGAUAUGACGAAGAACACCGAUUGCGUAGGCAGCUGACCAGACCGCAAAUGACGCUCAUGCACGAAAGUGCGGGGAUCGAACAGGAUUAGAUACCCUGGUAGUCCGCACAGUAAACGAUGAAUACUUGUUUUCGGCGAUAUAAUGUCGGAGGCAAAGCGAAAGCGAUAAGUAUUCCACCUGGGGAGUACGGCGGCAACGGUGAAACUCAAAUGAAUUGGCGGGG